UACGGGGGGGGCAAGCGUUGUUCGGAAUUACUGGGCGUAAAGGGCUCGUAGGCGGCCAACUAAGUCAGAUGUGAAAUCCCUCGGCUUAACCGGGGAACUGCGUCUGAUACUGGAUGGCUUGAGUUCGGGAGAGGGAUGCGGAAUUCCAGGUGUAGCGGUGAAAUGCGUAGAUAUCUGGAGGAACACCCGUGGUGCAGACGGCUUGCUGGACCGUGACUGACGCUGAGGCACGAAAGCGUGGGUAGCAAACAGG
rnacentral:rRNA from 1 species